rnacentral:rRNA from 1 species
CAGCCGCCACGGUAAUACGUAGGUGGCAAGCGUUGUCCGGAAUUAUUGGGCGUAAAGGGCUCGCAGGCGGUUUCUUAAGUCUGAUGUGAAAGCCCCCGGCUCAACCGGGGAGGGUCAUUGGAAACUGGAAACUUGAGUGCAGAAGAGGAGAGUGGAAUUCCACGUGUAGCGGUGAAAUGCGUAGAGAUGUGGAGGAACACCAGUGGCGAAGGCGACUUUCUGGUCUGUAACUGACGCUGAGGCUCGAAAGCGUGGGGAGCAAACAGGAUUAGAUACCCCAGUAGUCCCUGUCUCUUAUACC